rnacentral:rRNA from 1 species
AUUGAACGCUGGCGGCAUGCCUUACACAUGCAAGUCGAACGGUAACAGGUCUUCGGGUGCUGACGAGUGGCGAACGGGUGAGUAAUACAUCGGAACGUGCCUAGUAGUGGGGGAUAACUACUCGAAAGAGUGGCUAAUACCGCAUGAGAUCUACGGAUGAAAGCAGGGGAUCGCAAGACCUUGUGCUACUAGAGCGGCCGAUGGCAGAUUAGGUAGUUGGUGGGAUAAAAGCUUACCAAGCCGACGAUCUGUAGCUGGUCUGAGAGGACGAUCAGCCACACUGGGACUGAGACACGGCCCAGACUCCUACGGGAGGCAGCAGUGGGGAAUUUUGGACAAUGGGCGGAAGCCUGAUCCAGCAAUGCCGCGUGCAGGAUGAAGGCCUUCGGGUUGUAAACUGCUUCUGUACGGAACGAAAAGCCCCGGGUUAAUACCCUGGGGUCAUGACGGUACCGUAAGAAUAAGCACCGGCUAACUACGUGCCAGCCGCCGCAGUAA